GAACGAACGCUGGCGGCGUGCUUAACACAUGUCAAGUCGAACGAGGUCCAGCCGAGCUUUCGGGCAAAGCGAAGACCUAGUGGCGAACGGGUGCGUAACACGUGAGGAACCUGCCCCGGACUUGGGAAUAACAGUCGGAAACGUCUGCUAAUACCGAAUACCUUCGUAGCGUCGCAUGGCGCAUCGAAGAAAGCUUUUGCGGUUUGGGAGGGCCUCGCGGCCUAUCAGCUAGUUGGCGAGGUAACGGCUCACCAAGGCAUCGACGGGUAGCUGGUCUGAGAGGAUGAUCAGCCACACUGGGACUGAGACACGGCCCAGACUCCUACGGGAGGCAGCAGUGGGGAAUAUUGCACAAUGGGCGAAAGCCUGAUGCAGCAACGCCGCGUGCGGGAAGAAGGCCUUAGGGUUGUAAACCGCUUUCAGCAGGGAAGAAACUGACGGUACCUGCAG
rnacentral:rRNA from 1 species